AUGCUCACGCUUCACAAUCUCCUGCAACGGCUCAAUCCAAAGCUACAACGGUCAUCGACUCAAUCCAAAGCUACAACGGUCAUCUCCCUCCUCUCGUCAGAUAUAAAAUGCUUGCAGCUAGCAGCUUCCUCACUACUCCAUAUCAUACCGUCAAGAACAUUUCAUACCACCCAUUCAGAACAGCUUCCUCCCUUGUACAUGGUUCUCAUUGCCAUGUCUAGCUCAACCCAUCCCAUGUCAAGCUCCAGCUCCCCCCUUGUUUCUCUUGAGGAGCAGCCACCACUUCCACUCAUGAUCUGCCCUUUCUGCAACAAUGGUAUGGUUUAG
rnacentral:rRNA from 1 species